UGUUAGCUCAGUUGGUAGAGCAACUGACUCUUAAUCAGUGGGUCCGGGGUUCGAGUCCCC
rnacentral:tRNA from 1 species